rnacentral:rRNA from 1 species
UACGUAGGGGGCUAGCGUUGUCCGGAAUCAUUGGGCGUAAAGCGCGCGUAGGCGGCCCGGUAAGUCCGCUGUGAAAGUCAAAGGCUCAACCUUUGAAUGUCAGCGGAUACUGCCGGGCUAGAGUCCGGAAGAGGCGAGUGGAAUUCCCGGUGUAGCGGUGAAAUGCGCAGAUAUUGGGAGGAACACCUAUGGCGAAGGCAGCUCGCUGGGACGUUACUGACGCUGAGACGCGAAAGCGUGGGGAGCAAACAGG